CAGGCCUAACACAUGCAAGUCGAACGAUGCCUUUCGGGGCAUAGUGGCGCACGGGUGCGUAACGCGUGGGAAUCUGCCCUGGGGUCUGGGAUAACCGUUGGAAACGACGGCUAAUACCGGAUGAUAUCGAGAGAUCAAAGAUUUAUCGCCCUGGGAUGAGCCCGCGUCGGAUUAGCUAGUUGGUGGGGUAAAGGCCUACCAAGGCGACGAUCCGUAGCUGGUCUGAGAGGAUGAUCAGCCACACUGGGACUGAGACACGGCCCAGACUCCUACGGGAGGCAGCAGUGGGGAAUAUUGGACAAUGGGCGCAAGCCUGAUCCAGCAAUGCCGCGUGAGUGAUGAAGGCCUUAGGGUUGUAAAGCUCUUUUAUCCGGGACGAUAAUGACGGUACCGGAGGAAUAAGCCCCGGCUAACUUCGUGCCAGCAGCCGCGGUAAU
rnacentral:rRNA from 1 species